GACGAACGCUGGCGGCGUGCCUAAUACAUGCAAGUAGAACGCUGAAGGAGGAGCUUGCUUCUCUGGAUGAGUUGCGAACGGGUGAGUAACGCGUAGGUAACCUGCCUGGUAGCGGGGGAUAACUAUUGGAAACGAUAGCUAAUACCGCAUAAGAGUAGAUGUUGCAUGACAUUUACUUAAAAGGUGCAAUUGCAUCACUACCAGAUGGACCUGCGUUGUAUUAGCUAGUUGGUGAGGUAACGGCUCACCAAGGCAACGAUACAUAGCCGACCUGAGAGGGUGAUCGGCCACACUGGGACUGAGACACGGCCCAGACUCCUACGGGAGGCAGCAGGAGGGAACCUUCGGCAAUGGACGGAAGGCUGACCGAGCAACGCCGCGUGAGGGAAGAAGGGUUUCGGAUCGUAAAGCUCUGUUGUAAGAGAAGAACGAGUGUGAGAGUGGAAAGUUCACACUGUGACGGUAUCUUACCAGAAAGGGACGGCUAACUACGUG
rnacentral:rRNA from 1 species